AUUGAACGCUGGCGGCAUGCCUUACACAUGCAAGUCGAACGGCAGCACGGGAGCAAUCCUGGUGGCGAGUGGCGAACGGGUGAGUAAAGUAUCGGAACGUGCCCAGUCGUGGGGGAUAACGUAGCGAAAGUUACGCUAAUACCGCAUACGAUCUAUGGAUGAAAGCGGGGGAUCGCAAGACCUCGCGCGAUUGGAGCGGCCGAUAUCCGAUUAGGUAGUUGGUGGGGUAAAGGCUCACCAAGCCGACGAUCUGUAGCUGGUCUGAGAGGACGACCAGCCACACUGGGACUGAGACACGGCCCAGACUCCUACGGGAGGCAGCAGUGGGGAAUUUUGGACAAUGGGCGCAAGCCUGAUCCAGCCAUGCCGCGUGCAGGAUGAAGGCCUUCGGGUUGUAAACUGCUUUUGUACGGAACGAAAAGGUUUGACUUAAUACGUUGGACUCAUGACGGUACCGUAAGAAUAAGCACCGGCUAACUACGUGCCAGCCGCCGCAGUAACAC
rnacentral:rRNA from 1 species